AGAGUUUGAUCCUGGCUCAGGAUGAACGCUAGCUACAGGCUUAACACAUGCAAGUCGAGGGGCAGCAUUUCAGUUUGCUUGCAAACUGGAGAUGGCGACCGGCGCACGGGUGAGUAACACGUAUCCAACCUGCCGAUAACUCGGGGAUAGCCUUUCGAAAGAAAGAUUAAUACCCGAUGGUAUAAUUAGACCGCAUGGUCUUGUUAUUAAAGAAUUUCGGUUAUCGAUGGGGAUGCGUUCCAUUAGGCAGUUGGUGAGGUAACGGCUCACCAAACCUUCGAUGGAUAGGGGUUCUGAGAGGAAGAUCCCCCANAUUGGAACUGAGACACGGUCCAAACUCCUACGGGAGGCA
rnacentral:rRNA from 1 species